UUGAAUUCGAUCUUCGGAUCUUAUAACAUAAUAACACACUGUGAACCGUGGCUUCGGCCCAAACUUGAAGUCUAGAAUGUAAUAUAUCAUAACAAAAUACAACUUUUAACAACGGAUCUCUUGGCUCUCGCAUCGAUGAAGAACGCAGCGAAAUGCGAUAAGUAAUGUGAAUUGCAGAAUUCAGUGAAUCAUCGAAUCUUUGAACGCACCUUGCGCCCUCUGGUAUUCCGGAGGGCAUGCCUGUUUGAGUGUCAUGAACACCUCACCCCCUCGGGUUUUUCCGAUCGGGUGGAUUUGGGUGCUGCCAGUUACAUGGCUCGCCUUAAAAGCAUUAGCGGUUGUUGACGUAAUAAGUUUCGUCUUGUCGACCGCUUCUAAUCUCCUUCGGGAUGUCUUCGGACACUUCAUGA
rnacentral:misc_RNA from 1 species